rnacentral:tRNA from 1 species
GGCUAGGUAGCUCAGUUGGUAGAGCAGCGGACUGAAAAUCCGCGUGUCGGCGGUUCAAUUCCGUCCCUAGCCA